CUGUGAUGUAGUUUACAGUUCUUUGAUUUUUUUCCCCUUCUUUUAAGACCUUCCUUUCCACUUAUCCACCUUACAUAAGUAAUCUGCUGCAAAAGAGUCGAGGCUAGCAGAAACUGGAAAAAGGAUAUGUGUUUGGAGACAACACUAGCUCAGCUUGGAAGCUAGGAAUGCAACUGUAUCUUUUCUCUGUCUGCUUUAGGAGAAGUAUGUCUGGACAGCAGUGACGACACUAACUCUGACUGGAGAUCUCCCUGGUAACACUGGCCCAAGCCUGAGAGACAUGCUGCAACAUGCUGAAUGAUGACUUAAGAUGUAUAGGUGUUGCGAUGGCUUCCUCCUGCUUUGGGCACCCUCGGUCUUUCUGUGAUGCACGGGGGAAGUUUCUUACCUCAGAGCUGAGGACUUGAGAGACUCAUCCAAGCAAGAAGCUGCCUCAGUUUUGUGAUGAGCGAAGUACCCAAGGAGAGAAGCACUGACACAAGGAGAUCAGCACCCUGCGUAUGGGAUUCCCACAGCAGAGCUUGCUUGAGAAGGGAUUUGUAGCUGUUUGCAAGGACAGGCCCAAGGGAGGUGCUGUUUGUUCCAGUGGAAACCAUACAGAAGAGUGGGUUCUUUCAUCCUGCAACACUGUGUGACUCUGCCUCUUCUGACUGCACUUACUCCGCGCAGUGGACUCACCUCCAUCGUCUCCUGGCCUCUCCUUUUCCUCCAGCUUGCCCAAUUUCAAGCCUGAAAUCUGUGCUUGCAGUCUGCAGCCUCUUGUGGCACUGGAGGGCUGAGUGCUUUAGGUAGACAGCACUCAGCCAUGCAAAGCAGCGCUCCCAACGAGGGCAUUGGAGGAGACUCAGCCCAGCAAAGCUGCUGGUGGAGCAGAACUCACUGCCACUGUUUUCCAUAUGUUCCUCCCUAUGGGGGCCUGACUGGACCUCGACCUGAGGAGGGAACAGAAUGGAAAUUUAAUAGAAAGGCGAGUCCCACCCCCAGGUUUAACAGUAUGUAACUUCAGUUUCAGCUCAGCCUGUAGAGCACCAGGAAUGAAAGAGCAGGUUGGCUUGCAAAAGUGCAUUGUGUCCAGCCCAGCAAAAUGGCUCCUGAAAGAGUAUUCAUCCCAUAGAUGGGCAGUCACUGGAUCAAACUGUUGAUAGAUCAUCUUGUCUGAAGCAAGAACAAAAAAACCGUUCCUUUACCAAGCAAGUGUGGUGCACUACCAGUGUGCGCUAAUAGCUUUCUUUUCAGUUAGAAGACUUCAAUUUGGGCAUAAAUUCUUUCAGAUGCUGCUAGUUAAAACUGUGCUGAAGAAAAUAAAAGCAUAGCAAGUAUAUCUAUUAUCUGCCUG
rnacentral:lncRNA from 1 species